AGAGCGAACGCUGGCGGCAGGCCUAGCACAUGCAAGUCGAACGAACUCUUCGGAGUUAGUGGCGGACGGGUGAGUAACACGUGGGAACGUGCCUUUUGGUUCGGAAUAGCUCCUGGAAACGGGUGGUAAUGCCGAAUGUGCCCUUCGGGGGAAAGAUUUAUCGCCAUUAGAGCGGCCCGCGUCUGAUUAGCUAGUUGGUGAGGUAAAGGCUCACCAAGGCUACGAUCAGUAGCUGGUCUGAGAGGAUGACCAGCCACAUUGGGACUGAGACACGGCCCAAACUCCUACGGGAGGCAGCA
rnacentral:rRNA from 1 species